rnacentral:rRNA from 1 species
UCGCUAGUAAUCGCGCAUCAGCCACGGCGCGGUGAAUACGUUCCCGGGCCUUGUACACACCGCCCGUCAAGCCAUGGGAGCCGGGGGUACCUGAAGUGUGCAACCGCAAGGAGCGCCCUAAGGUAAAACUGGUGACUGGGGCUAAGUCGUAACAAGGUAGC